rnacentral:rRNA from 1 species
GACAUAGGUGGCGAACGUUUAUCCGGAAUUACUGGGCGUAAAGAGUGCGUAGGUGGUUCAAUAAGUUACUGGUGGGAAAUCGGGGCUCAACCUCUGGAAGUCAGUAAUAACUAUUAAACUAGAGGGUCGGAGAGGUUAACGGAAUUCUAUGUGUAGCGGUAAAAUGCUUAAAUAUAUAGAGGAACACCAAACGGCGAAGGCAGUUAACUAUUCGAUUCCUGACGUUGAGGCACGAAAGCGUGGGGAGCAAGACGG